rnacentral:rRNA from 1 species
AGUAGUGGCGAGCGAAAGCGGAACAGCCCAAACCGUCGGGAUUUAUCCUGACGGGGUUGCAGGACCACAACGUGGACUGAAGUGAGUUAGACGAACACUCUGGAAAGUGUGACCACAGCGGGUGAUAGUCCCGUAGUUUAAAACUCAUUUCUACCUAGUGGCCUCCUAAGUAGCACGGUGCACGUGAAACUCCGUGUGAAUCCAUGCCGACCACGGCAUAAGGCUAAAUACUCGUUGACGACCGACAGUGAACUAGUACCGCGAGGGAAAGGUGAAAAGCACCCCUGUUAGGGGAGUGAAAUAGUAACUGCAACCGAUGGCUAACAAGUCAGUGGGAGCACCUUUAUGGUGUGACCGCCUGCCUUUUGUAUAAUGAGUCUGCGAGUUAUUGCCCGUAGCAAGCCUAAGCCGCUAAGCGGUGGAGGCGCAGCGAAAGCGAGUCCAAACAGGGCGCUUAAGUUGCUGGCAAUAGACCCGAAGGGGAGGUGAUCUAACCAUGGCCAGGAUGAAGCUUCGGUAAAACGAAGUGAAGGUCCGAACCGGUCAACCUUGAGAAGUUGUCGGAUGAGCUGUGGUUAGGAGCGAAAGACUAAUCAAACCCCCUGAUAGCUGGUUCUUUCCGAAAUAUAUUUGGGUAUAGCGUCGGAUGCUGAUGAGUGGAGGUAGAGCACUAAAUAAGCUAGGGCCCCUACCGGGGUACUGAACUUAAUUAAACUCCGAAUACCAUUCAAUGAAGUCCGGCAGUCAGACGGUGGGGGCUAACCUCCAUCGUCGAGAGGAGAAUAAUCCAGACCAUCAGUUAAGGUCCCAAAAUAUGGCUCAGUGUAAAAGGAUGUGAAUUUACUUAGACAAUGGGGAUGUUGGCUUAGAGGCAGCCAUCAUUUAAACAGUGCGUAACAGCUGACCCAUCGAGUGAAUUUGCGCCGAAAAUGAUCGGGACUUAAGCCGUAUACCGAAGCUAUGGGUUUACCGCAAGGUAAGCAGUAGGAAAGCGUUCCAAGUGCAGCGAAGCGGAAGGGGCAACCAACCGUGGAGCGCUUGGAAGUGAGAAUGCAGACAUAAGUAACGAUAAAGAUGGUUAAAUUCCAUCUCGCCGUAAGGAUAAGGUUUCCUGGGGAAGGUUCGUCCUCCCAGGGUUAGUCGGGAGCUAAGAUGAGGCCGUAAGGAAUAAUCGAUGCACAGCAGGUUAAUAUUCCUGCACCGAUCCAUAACUAUCCUGUAAUUGACGGAGCGACGAAUCCAACAGACCCUUUUGACAAGGCACUGCGAAGCCACGGCUUAGCGGGAGUUGGUGAAGGAGCUUCCAAGAAAAUUUUACAGGGAACUAUGUGGAGCGCCCGUACCGCAAACCGACACAGGUAUCCGUGAUGAGUAUUCUAAGGCGCGCGAGUCAAAUCUCUCUAAGGAACUCGGCAAAUUAACCCCGUAUCUUCGGUAUAAGGGGUGCCUCGAAAGAGGCCGCAGUUAAUUGCGUCAACCGACUGUUUAGCAAAAACACAGCACUCUGCUAAGUCGCAAGACGACGUAUAGGGUGUGACACGUGACCAAUGCGGAAAGGUGAAAGUCUAGGGUGCAAGCUCUGGAUCUAAGCCCCCGUGAAUGUCGGCCGUAACUAUAACGGUCCUAAGGUAGCGAAAUUCCUUCUCGGGUAAGUUCCGACCUGCAC